rnacentral:tRNA from 1 species
GGUCUGGUGGUCUAGUGGUAUGAUUCUCGCUUAGGGUACACCCUACAGCAAAUUGCGAGAGGUCCCGGGUUCAAUCCCCGGCCAGACCC